UACGAAGGGGGCUAGCGUUGUUCGGAAUUACUGGGCGUAAAGCGUGCGCAGGCGGCUUCUCAAGUCAGGGGUGAAAGCCCAGAGCUCAACUCUGGAAUUGCCUUUGAGACUGAGUGGCUUGAGUACGAGAGAGGUGAGUGGAAUUCCGAGUGUAGAGGUGAAAUUCGUAGAUAUUCGGAAGAACACCAGUGGCGAAGGCGACUUACUGGACACAUAUUGACGCUGAGGUGCGAAAGCGUGGGGAGCAAACAGG
rnacentral:rRNA from 1 species